rnacentral:rRNA from 1 species
GACGAACGCUUGCGACGUGCCUAAGAAAUGCAAGUCGAACGGGGUAGCAAUACCUAGUGGCGAACGGUCGCGUAACACGUGGGCAACCUGCCCCAGAGCGGGGGAUAACACUCCGAAAGGAGUGCUAAUACCGCAUGUGGACUUUGUUGGCAUCAACGAAAGUCUAAAGAUUUAUCACUCUGGGAUGGGCCCGCGGCCUAUCAGCUAGUUGGUGGGGUAACGGCCUACCAAGGCUUCGACGGGUAGCUGGUCUGAGAGGACGAUCAGCCG